UGGAUCGCUAAUUUAAAAAGGGCAGAUCCCGGAUCUUACUUCCGCAGAUUGAUAGUCAACAGGUGGCGAAACCACUGAGCUAAAUCCCCAGCCAUCAUUGCUGUUUUCUGAUCUACCUUUUGUGCUCUACUGCUCUGUCCUAAGAAGACCUUUGCCCAGAGAUAGCCACGAAGGGUGAGAGGAGACAGCACGUAUUGGUCACAGCAUGAGUUUUGGGGUCAGCCAGCAGACACCUCCAUCCUGAAUUUUUGGUCACACCGAUUUCUUCAGUGUUUCCAAACAUCUUGGACAUUUCUACCUCUGGGCCUUCACUUACCAGAAUUCCUGGCGGUAUGGUCACCAAAUCCUCUCCCAUGCAUCCGUCCUAUCAUCCAACAUCCAUUCAUUUGUCCUUUUAUCUAACCAACAAUCCAUUCAUCUUACAUGGUCAUCCAUC
rnacentral:lncRNA from 1 species